rnacentral:lncRNA from 1 species
ACACAUUUUUGUGUGUUCUGUGGAUCGCCAGGAGCAAAAAGGAACCAAGGAGAAACCCUAGUUCCUAAAAUUCUCAAAAUCAGAAGGAGUUUAAGAGCCUAAACAAAUGCAUGAACCCAAAACUCGAGUUAUCUAAGCUUCUUCAACGAAUGGCACGAAGAAGGAAGAAGGUACGAGUCACUUGAAGUCGCAAGCUUCACAAGAUCACGGUAAAUCUCAUGCUUAGAAUGGCGAGCUCGGAUUCGAACACACCACAUCGUCCAUAUAUGCGCUUCCGGUUCAAGUUAUCUUUUGAAAUGGGUCAAAUAAUUUUUGUAAUGUAAAUGUAAAUUUUAUGUUUUAGGAUGUUCGUAAGUAGUUUGAAUUUUAAAACCUUUUUGGGUAGUUCGGACAUAACCCUUGUAUUAGGUCUUGUAUGGUCACUACUUUUAUUUCUUUUGAAAAAGUGUCGUAGAAGUUUAUUUGAAUGAUGUUUGUUAAAAGCAGGGGAAAUGUUUAUAGUACGAACGGGUCAUGCCAAA